rnacentral:rRNA from 1 species
UACGGGGGGGGCGAGCGUUGUUCGGAAUUACUGGGCGUAAAGGGCGCGUAGGCGGUUCGCUAAGUUGGAUGUGAAAACUCUGGGCUCAACCCAGAGCCUGCAUCCAAAACUGGCGGGCUAGAGUUCUGGAGGGGGUAGCGGAAUUCCUGGUGUAGCGGUGAAAUGCGCAGAUAUCAGGAGGAACACCUAUAGCGAAGGCAGCUCGCUGGGACGGUACUGACGCUGAGGCGCGAAAGCGUGGGGAGCGAACAGG